AGAAGACACUAACUAGGAUUCCCUCAGUAACGGCGAGUGAAAGGGGAGGAGCUCAACCCUUAAUUCUCUCUCUCAGAUGAAGAAAUGUGGGAUCCUUUUUCAGAAAAAUGUCAGUGGAAAAUAUCUUGGAAAGGUUUGCCUAAGAGGGUGAAAGUCCCGUUAACACUGUACAUAUUUCAUACGGAAAAGGUUUGAAGAGUCACGCUCUUUGGAAGUAGAGCGUAAAAACGGGUGAUACACUUCAUCCGAGGCUAAAUAUCAUUUCGAGACCGAUAGUGAACAAGUACCGUGAGGGAAAGCUGAAAAGAACUUUGGAAAGAGAGUUAAACAGUGCUUGAAACCGAUAAGGAGGAAGUGUAUUUGUCUUGAUAUUGUACGCGGUUUGCCGUGUACGAUACAUGCUAUCCAUUUCGAAGGAUCGAGUAAAUCUUUUCGAGACCCAUCAAUAGUGUAGAUGAGGUGGAAUUGAUGUACUUAGCACUUGGAAUGGGAGAGCAUUGAGUUGAGGUUCAUCUUCCCCUUAGCCGUCAAGCUCCUUUCUCUUGAAACGGGUUUGUAGGAUAAGCGUAAGAUGAUAAUCGUUCUUCGCGCAGCAUGAGAUAGUCAAAUACAGCCCGUCUUGAAACACGGACCAAGGAGUCUAACGCGUGCGCGAGUUUGAAGGUUUUUAAACCAAAUAGCCGUAACGAAAGUGAAAACAAAACCACAUUGUAACCGACCUUGAGCUAUGGUGAUAGGAUCGAGUUGAAGCGCAUUUGUUAGGACCCGAAAGGUGGUGAACUAUGCCUGAGUCGAGUGAAGCCAGGGGAAACUUUGGUGGAAGCUCAUAGCGAUUCUGACGUGCAAAUCGAUCGUCUAACUUGGGUAUAGGGGCGAAAGACUAAUCGAACUACCUAGUAGCUGGUUCCUCCCGAAGUUUCCCUCAGGAUAGCAGAAAUUGAGAGCAGUUUUGUCGGGUAAAGCGAAUGAUUAGAGGAUUCGGGGUUAUAUAGACCUUGACCUAUUCUCAAACUUUAAAUAGGCAAGUAAUAUCCUUUACUUCAUUUGAAGGGAUAUUAUUAAUGCGCAAUUUCUAGUGGGCCAUUUUUGGUAAGCAGAACUGGCGAUGAGGAAUAAUCCUAACGUCGGCUUAACGUGCAAAAUUUUCCGCUCAUCAGAUCCCAGAAAGGGUGUUGG
rnacentral:rRNA from 1 species